CCAAGCGGCCUCAGACGCGGACGUAACUCCAUCAUCACCCUCAUGGCUUGGGAGAUCUGGAAACACAGGAAUGUGGCCAUCUCUGAUGGUGCCUGUCCUUCCACUGACGAGCUUAUGCAGCUGAUCAAAGAUGAGGCGCGCCGCUGGGCUAAGGCCGGCGAUAGAGGUCUAGAUAGGAUCAUCCCUGUAACUUGA
rnacentral:rRNA from 1 species